UUACGACCACAUCACGUUGAACCACCAUUUCCCAUUCGAUCACCGAAUUUAAGCAACGUCCAGCCUGGUCAGUACAUUAAUGCGUGACCGCUUGGAAAUACCAGGUCCUGUAG